rnacentral:rRNA from 1 species
GUGCCAGCAGCCGCGGUAAUACGGAGGGUGCGAGCGUUGUCCGGAAUCACUGGGCGUAAAGGGCGCGUAGGCGGUUCCUCAAGCGUGUGGUGAAAGUCCGGGGCUCAACCCCGGAUCGGCCGUGCGAACUGGGGGACUCGAGCACUGUAGAGGCGGGUGGAAUUCCGGGUGUAGCGGUGGAAUGCGUAGAGAUCCGGAAGAACACCAGUGGCGAAGGCGGCCCGCUGGGCAGUGGCUGACGCUGAGGCGCGACAGCGUGGGGAGCAAACAGGAUUAGAUACCCUGGUAGUCC